AAAGUUAUAAUACAUAAAAAGAUUCAAAUAAAAACAAAUAAUAAUUUAUUAUUAUAGUUUUUAAUUAGUAAUACAUGUAUUAAUAGGAAUUAUAAAAUGUUUAUGUCUGCAUGUGCAGGCGAAACACCUUAUAUCAUGUUAAUAGCAUAUAUUUUUGGUAUUAUUGAAUAUAUAUUUUGUAUAAAGUUACGAAUAUGAAUUUAUGUGAAUUAUAGAAAGGUUACAUAGUUUGAGUUUGAGGUGUAACAUUAUGAUAUUUCGAUUAUAUAAAGAAAUAAAAAGAAAUGUUACUUGGAAACUAAUCUUGUUGUAAUUAGAACGGACCCAAUGGUUUUAUUGGUGCUUUGCUUGAAAGAAAUGGGGACAAGGGGGAACGAACGUGUAUAUACGUAAUUAUGGUAUUAUAUCAUGACAAACUCUCACGGUCCAUAAUUUCAGGUUUAUCAUCCUUUAUAAAUUACUUUGUUGAUUAUUCGUUAAAGUAAAAGUUCUUCUCUUUUAGUUUUUUUUUUAGUGAAAGCUAAGUUAGUGAAAGUGUGCUCAAGCUUUUAUUUUCUUUAAUUACAAUUGCUCAGGUGCGUGUUGUGUUUUCAAACACCCAUUGUGAUGGGAAAAAGAAUAAAAGCGAACCACUUUUUUUUUAUUUUAAUUCGCAUUUUUAGCAUCUAGCUUAUAUGCAACGCCAAAUAUAGCUCGAUACCUUUCGUUUUGUAUUUUUUUAUUAAUAUUCUGUAGACUUUCAUUUAUUUUUAUUGUUAAAGUCUAAUGUGAUUGGGGAAUGUGGGUGAAAAGAAAAAGAGAAAAUGGAAAAAGAGAAAGAAAAGGAGUCAUAAGUGAUGAUUAAAGAAAUGCACGGGAAGGAAGGAAUUUCAAGUGCUUAAUUACCCGCACGACUUCUCUCGCAUUCCUCCUUUUCUUUUGUUAGUUCACAUAUCUUUGUCUGAAAAAGUUUGUAGCUUUGGUCUUUUUCGUCUCUCCUUUGAUUUGAUAUUAAGAACAGUAAUUACUGUGUUUAGCAAGUGUUGAAUUCAACAUUUAAUCAUGGUUUCAUAUUAUUGUUACCCAAAUCAAAAUCUUAUUUGGUUUGAAAUUUUAUUUAUUUUCUGAAUACAAUUAUUACUAGUGUCAUUUUUAUUCAAAAUAAAAACAACUUGAGCGAGAAACAUUGAUUUGAACCCGCAUGAAACUUCCAUGUAUUUUUUCUUUAUUAGAUCAAUACAUCCAGAUUAAUCAUUAUGAUCCUUACACAAUUAGAACUGGAUAUUAUUGCGUUUUAAAUAUAUUCGGUUGGCCUGACUAACAUAUCCUGAAGAUGUAUAAUAUCUACUGGUUCAAAAUGUAAACAUGCCGUCUUAGCUCAGUCGUAGAGCUGCGUGACUUUCAUUUUGUGAAAACCUCUUACGUUUUUCUACGCAAAAAGAGAAAUAAAACGGCACAAAAUUAUUAUAUCACAAUAACUGCAACAAAACAUACAACAUUCGGACAGAAACAAGAGCAACGGGGUCUUUUAUUUAGAUAAAACGUCAUCCACCGAGUUUAGAGAAGUACCGACAAAUGACAUCACAAAGUUUUGUUUCAACAAAGAUUCCAGAAACGAUAAAGGGUUACAACCACUUAAUAAUUU